GACAGAGGGUGCUAGCGUUGUUCGGAAUUACUGGGCGUAAAGGGCGCGUAGGCGGCCUUCUAAGUCGAACGUGAAAUCCCCGGGCUCAACCCGGGAACUGCGUCCGAUACUGGAAGGCUUGAAUCCGGGAGAGGGAUGUGGAAUUCCAGGUGUAGCGGUGAAAUGCGUAGAUAUCUGGAGGAACACCGGUGGCGAAGGCGACAUCCUGGACCGGUAUUGACGCUGAGGCGCGAAAGCCAGGGGAGCAAACGGG
rnacentral:rRNA from 1 species